CAGAUUCUGAUUCAGAAUCUGAAUCUGAACCAAGUGAUGAGAGCGAAGAAUCAUCACCUGCAGAGAAGGAGAAGAAAAAGAAAAAAACAAAAACAACACCAAAAAAAACACAACCAAAAAAGAAAAAAGUUGUUGUGGAGGAUUCACCUCCUAAAGAAGAUCAAUACUUUGACGGGUACAGUACCUCGUAAGCUAUAUUACCGUCUAUCAUCGUAAUUAUUUUUGUUAACAUCUUCUUUUAUGAAUGUAGUGAGACAUAUGAAAUAUCAAAUGACGAACUAGAUGAAUGGCUAAGGGAAAAUGUUGAUAAAUCUGCUGCAGAGGGGUAUGUCUUACUGGGCUGUGUAUUUCAGAUUUUGGUGUGUUUUGUUUGCUAAUAAUUGUUUCUUGUUUCGCAGGGAGAACCGAGCUGACCUGCGAUCGACAGAAGGUCGCUAUGUGUCGUCUGAAACGUAAGAAACUUUAUUAUUUAAUAAAAUCUUGCUAUCAUGAUUU